rnacentral:rRNA from 1 species
GGCGAACGGGUGAGUAAUGCAUCGGAACGCGUCCUGUAAUGGGGGAUAACCUAGCGAAAGUUAGGCUAAUACCGCAUACGUCCUGAGGGAGAAAGCGGGGGAUCGUAAGACCUCGUGUUAUAGGAGCGGCCGAUGUCGGAUUAGCUAGUUGGUGGGGUAAAGGCCUACCAAGGCGACGAUCCGUAGCGGGUCUGAGAGGACGGCCCGCCACACUGGGACUGAGACACGGCCCAGACUCCUACGGGAGGCAGCAGUGGGGAAUUUUGGACAAUGGGGGCAACCCUGAUCCAGCCAUGCCGCGUGAGUGAAGAAGGCCUUCGGGUUGUAAAGCUCUUUCGGCCGGGAAGAAAUCGUGCGGGCUAAUACCCUGUAUGGAUGACGGUACCGGAAGAAGAAGCACCGGCUAACUACGUGCCAGCAGCCGCGGUAAUACGUAGGGUGCGAGCGUUAAUCGGAAUUACUGGGCGUAAAGCGUGCGCAGGCGGUUUUGUAAGACAGAUGUGAAA